GUGGUCUUCUCUGCUCAAGGCAGCAGUGGGCACUUGCAGUAUAGUUGAGGAAAAUGACCUCUCCUUGACCAAGCUGAGCUGCAGUCCGAAUGCCAGGGCUGCAUGCUUCUUUCCUGCUUACAGUUUAGUGAAUAAUCAGGGAUCCAGUAUUUCACUGACCCACUCCAGGUUGCCAGAGUUCCGUUUGAAGGUGUCUCCAUGGUUGCACACACCAGAGGACGGGGACUCUGUGUCUAGAAGGCUGAGGCGAGGGCUCCGUUGUGGGGCAGACUGUUCGCAGUCUUAUCUGUCUGAGUAUUCCUGGGUAUGACUGUGUGUGGCAAAAGCUCGUGUCACCCAAGUAGUCUUCAACUUCUGUAGUUUGUAAAUGAGUGUUGUGGAGGGAACCUUUAGAUGAUCAAUCAGAUGUGUCUUAUCUUUUUAGCACUUGAAAACCAACACACCCAGGAAAUGCCACACAUUGUUAGAAGCCUAAUUGCAGUCGCUAACCAUUUGUCAGUACCUCCUAACUGCCGCUCUGCCGCUAGUGUUUAAACGUCCACGUGGAAAGCGUUACAUUUGGAAGCAGCUGGUGUAAACACUUACUCUAGGCAGCUGCAGUCCUCUUAAGUCUCCAGCCAGAAGGUGGGGGCCUUUCAGGUGGCAAGAUUAAAUUGUGCUGUUGCCAAAUAGUAUUUGAAUUAAUACCAGGAAACAGGGACCAUGGUACUGCUGGAUGUUUUCGGGUGAGAAAGAUGAAUGUAGUGUGCUUUGGCAUGGUUUGGGAGACAGUGUCAGCAGUGACAAAUCACACAGCUUCAACAAGUCCUCUAGUUUGUGACAGCAUGACAGGUUUACUCUGUCUCUGCGAAUGGGUCCCAGAGCCCGUUUGGGAGAGAGACUCUCCAAAGGUUGAAAUGCCAAAUAGCAUAAAACCUGUUCCCUUGACUCAAUAGUAAAGCCAGGGUGAAGAGCUGCACACACCUUUCUCCCUGAAGAACCGCCCAGGUAUGUGGUGAUUCUGGGCUCCCACAGUCCAGCUCAGAGCAGCUAAGACCUGUGCACGCUGUUGCUGGGCAGACUGGUCCCCAGCCUCAGACCCAACCUCUGCCAAGAUGCUGAGGGGAGGAGGAGGGUGUUUUCCUAGACUGUGGGUUGGUGUAACAAAGCAACGACUGUGUCAGCUGGGCCUUCGUAGGGGAACAAACCAGUACAAACCAGCAUCUUCUAUCAGUUAGCACUGUCCUCCUGGACCAUGCUGAGGGCUGGGCCUUUCCCUCAGAGUCCCUUCUCACUGUAUUUCUGUGUGCCUGUUCCCUUCAUGCGUGAGUCAGGAAUACAUGGAGAGACAGCCUACAUCUGACAGACUCCCACAAAACAAACUGCCAGCAAACUUUCUAACUCAUAUUUUAACUGUUAAGGGGGGAUUAAAACAAAAUUUUGGACUGUGGUGUUUUUUUUUUUAAAUUUUUAAAAAUUGUUCUUUAGUUUUAAAACUUCCAGAGAUAGAAGCAGGCUUCUGAGGUAUGGUCUCGCUGUGUGCUUUCUCUCCAUGCUGCCAUUAAGCCAAAACAAAAGCUGUGAACAUAAGUGCUUGAGAGAAUGCGUGUUGAUAAGAAAGUGAUUUAUUUACAGAUCCAAGUCUUUGUCUCACGAAACUACCAAAAAGAAUGUCACCAUUUUUCUUCGUUGUGGAACCAGAGAUUAUAAAAAGAAAAAAAAAAGUUGUUUUGUUGUAUUUUUGAUGCUGGCACAAGGUUCUUGUCCACUUUGGUUUUUCGUAUAUCUGUAUGUAAGAAAUUCUGUUUCUUGUUUACUAUGGAAUUAGUAUUACAUUUUGAGGUAAACAAAGAAUUUGUAUUGCUUGGUAAACUAUUAACUAUUAGCUUGCAAAUUUAAGAAUUUUUUCUUUACCUCAGUUAACUUAAGUAAUGGACCAAUAAACCUAUGACAGAUGCUUUAUUU
rnacentral:lncRNA from 1 species